rnacentral:rRNA from 1 species
CACGUAGGGGCCAAGCGUUGUCCGGAUUUAUUGGGCGUAAAGAGCUCGUAGGCGGCUUAGUAAGUCGGGUGUGAAACCUCCAGGCUCAACCUGGAGACGCCACCCGAUACUGCUGUGGCUAGAGUCCGGUAGGGGAGCGUGGAAUUCCUGGUGUAGCGGUGAAAUGCGCAGAUAUCAGGAGGAACACCAGCGGCGAAGGCGGCGCUCUGGGCCGGAACUGACGCUGAGGAGCGAAAGUGUGGGGAGCGAACAGG